rnacentral:rRNA from 1 species
UGUGACUGGAUACCUAUGCUCAUGUGAAGCUCUUUCGACGAGUCGAGUUGUUUGGGAAUGCAGCUCAAAAUGGGAGGUAUAUUUCUUCUAAAGCUAAAUAUUGGCCAGAGACCGAUAGCGCACAAGUAGAGUGAUCGAAAGAUGAAAAGCACUUUGGAAAGAGAGUUAAACAGUACGUGAAAUUGUUGAAAGGGAAGCGCUUGCAAUCAGACUUGCACUUGGUGUUCAUCAGGGUCUCGUACCCUGUGUACUUCAUCAAGUUCAGGCCAGCAUCAGUUUGAGUGGUUAGAUAAAGGCUUAGAGAAUGUGGCCCUCUUCGGGGGGUGUUAUAGCUCUAGGUGCAAUGUAGCCUACUUGGACUGAGGACCGCGGAUGCUG